GGGGCUGACUGGAAUUGACAGCAUUGAAUGUUCUGUAAGUAAGCAUGUCGAGACAGGUGUGAUUAUCUCGUUAAAUAUAGCACAUAAACAACUUUAAAUGGCAAUAAUAACUAUGCCAUGGCUGCCUAAUCACGGAGUGAUAUAGGAACCAUUGCGACCCACGCUUGACGCCUAAUACACAGCGUGCCUCGCAUCAACCAACCCUUUAGGCUAGCCUAGUAUGCGUGUCUCCGUAAUGCUUGGCGAAACAAGAAGAGGCUGGAGUAGUGACUCGUAUGUUGUUAGACAUAUUGCUACUUGAGAUCCGACUAACAACUACACAUGUAGAAAGCUUAUGGAUGCUUUGACUGGACGAGAGUUCGAAUCUCUCCAGCUCCACAA
rnacentral:tmRNA from 1 species